rnacentral:tRNA from 1 species
GGAAGGAGGGUCUUGUGGCUAAGGCGCUGGGCUGGGAUUUGGGAGACGUGGGUUCCAUUCCCACUUUUGCCA